rnacentral:tRNA from 1 species
GAGAAUAUAGCUCAGUGGUAGAGUGCAUGCAUAGCAUGUACAAUGUCCUGGGUUCAAUCCCCAGUACCUCCA